rnacentral:rRNA from 1 species
CUACGGGGGGCUGCAGUGAGGAAUAUUGCACAAUGGGGGGAACCCUGAUGCAGCAACGCCGCGUGGAGGAUGACGCAUUUCGGUGUGUAAACUCCUUUUAUAUGUCAAGAAAAUGACGGUAGCAUAUGAAUAAGCACCGGCUAACUCCGUGUCAGCAGCCGCGGUAAUACGGAGGGUGCAAGCGUUACUCGGAAUCACUGGGCGUAAAGGACGCGUAGGCGGGUUGGAAAGUCAGGUGUAAAAUCCUACAGCUUAACUGUAGAACUGCACUUGAAACUUCUAAUCUAGAGUAUGGGAGGGGGAGAUGGAAUUAGUGGUGUAGGGGUAAAAUCCGUAGAUAUCACUAGGAAUACCUAAAGCGAAGGCGAUCUCCUGGAACAUUACUGACGCUAAGGCGUGAAAGCGUGGGGAGCAAACAGGAUUAGAUACCCCCGUAGUC